rnacentral:sRNA from 1 species
UCGCCAAGUAAUGGAAUUUUAACCUUUC